GGCCCUCUAAUCCUUAUCCCAAAAAGAUGAUUAACAUGAUGAAGGACUCUUAGCCCAUCCGCACACCAAGAACAAUUGCCGUGCGCCACAACCAUGCGCCAAACAUUAUCCACUUUAUCUCCAUGCCAUAUAGGUAUUUUAAUCCCAUUAAAAUUCUUUAAAAAUGGCGUGCAACAAGAUAAAGGAAAGAGGUUAGUUGGCGUCAAAAAUUAGGAUUAAAUCCUUCCACGAGAAGGACUCUAAUCCUCUCACACGUAACAAGUCC
rnacentral:lncRNA from 1 species